CACUAUGCAUAGCCGUAAACAUUGAUAGCUUAAUACACCCGCUAUCCGCCUGGGGACUACGAGCACUAGCUUAAAACCCAAAGGACUUGGCGGUGCUUCAAACCCACCUAGAGGAGCCUGUUCUAGAACCGAUACUCCCCGUUCAACCUCACCCCUUCUCGCCCAACAGCCUAUAUACCGCCGUCGUCAGCUUACCCUGUGAAGGUUUAGCAGUUAGCAAAAUCGGCAUAGCCCAAAACGCCAGGUCGAGGUGUAGCAUAUGAAGGGGGAAGCAAUGGGCUACAUUCUCUGCUACAGAGAAUACGGAUGAUGAACUGAAACGUUAAUCUGAAGGAGGAUUUAGCAGUAAGCAGAAAAUAGAGUGUUCUGCUGAAGUCGGCCCUGAAGCGCGCACACACCGCCCGUCACUCUCCCCGAAUGCCUAUUUCUUGUGUUAUUAAACCUAUUCUGCUACUUUAGGGGA
rnacentral:rRNA from 1 species